GAUGAAGAACGCAGCGAAAUGCGAUAAGUAGUGUGAAUUGCAGAAUUCAGUGAAUCAUCGAAUCUUUGAACGCACAUUGCGCCCCUUGGUAUCCCGGGGGGCAUGCCUGUUCGAGCGUCAUUUCACCACUCAAGCCUGGCUUGGUGUUGGGCGACGUCCCCUUUGGGGACGCGCCUCGAAACGCUCGGCGGCGUGGCACCGGCUUUAAGCGUAGCAGAAUCUUUCGCUUUGGAAGUCGGGGCCCCGUCUGCCGGAAGACCUACUCGCAAGGUUGACCUCGGAUCAGGCAGGGAUACCCGCUGAACUUAAGCAUAUCAUAAGCGGAGGA
rnacentral:misc_RNA from 1 species